CAAUGCAUGAUGAUUACAUAGUUCAGCAGACAUCUCUGACGAUAUCACAUGUUUGGUCUUUCGCUCCUAUCUGAGUGGACAG